GGGUGAACAAUCUUUGGUGUGUUUGUUUCUCUCUUCUCUCCCUUUAUUUUGUGCUUGUGGUUUUGAGUUUUUCACUUUGAUUACUAGAUUAGAUCUAGGUGUUGUUAUUAUUGUUGUUGCUUGUAUUUACUUUGAAAUUGGUUACUACUUUCCUUUGCUCCACACAUCAUAGUUUGUAUUAGUGUGAGUUUUGAGUCUGAAUUCACAACA
rnacentral:lncRNA from 1 species